rnacentral:rRNA from 1 species
AUGCUGAAUGUGGGUGGGUUACCUCUCGGUGAUAUCACUAAUGUGUGUCAACCAACCACGGUGGACCUUGACGAUAAAAAAGAGCAACUAAAGUCUCGGAGAAGAGCUGCUUAUCGAAAGAAAAAAGAGGAGGCAGCCAGCAAGCAAAAAGAUGAAAAUCUGACUGCCCUUUCGAUAUCAGAUAUGCAAAAUAUUCCCCUGCUACCUCUCGGUGAUAUCACUAAUGGGUGUCAACCAUUCUCGGUGGACCUUGACGAGAAAAAAGAGCAAAUAAAGGCUCGGAGGAGAGCUGCUUAUCGAAAGAAAAAAGAGGAGGCAGCCAGCAAGCAACUAGAUGAAAAACAGCCUGAGGAAGAACACAAGGGUGACUUAACGGACGAGCAAACUGAGCAGAGAAACGCGCGGAAGCGAGCAAGUUAUCGGAGAAAAGUGGGGGACGGAACGAUCGAUCUUCAAGAAAAAAAUCAGAAGUUGCAAGAAUGGCGCGUGCAACACCCUAAAACCAUGACUGAGGAUGAAAGGGGGGAGUCAAGUGCAAAGAGAAAGGCAAAGUAUGCUGCAAAGAAAUACAUGCCAUGUGCUGAAUCGAUCGCAAUGCCACGUCCAGAUCUAAGUAGCACAUUGUCCAACCCUCACACACAUUGUCCGACUCUCACACUUUCAGCCCUCACGCAACAAUUCGACAGUGAACAAAUAGAUCAUGCUCCUACGAUCAAUGCGGCCCCCACAUACAUUCGCAACACCGAAACCGAUGGUGCAUACCUAAGCAGAACCUUCGGUGAUGGUGCUGUAGAUGGCGACCUGAUCGAAGGUACAAUAGCGGAUAAUGGAGUGGACGGGCAGAGUCAUGAGUCCAGAGCAGCGCCUGGGAGGAGAGAGCGAGCUUGCAAGGGUGGUGUGGUGGCAAAGAAGGGUCAACAGAAAAUUGUGAAGCAAAAAAAAUGUAUGCAGGUAGCGCAUGGUGAAAGGAAUGUUCUACGCGAUCGACGUAAUGAAAAGUUUGCAGGUAGGGUGAUGACCCCAACCGUCAGGUCCAUCUCCAUUCCGAAAAUGAGCUCAACUGGACAACCUACCGUAGUGGAAGCACAUGGUGCCUCGACCUCAUCUAGCACGCCGGAGUACACGAUCAGAAGUGAAGGUAAAACUCCCAUCCUUACUCUUCUUGCGUCCCUUGAGACUGAACCCUCAUUUAUUGGUUCCGUACCUGAGCAGACGACAUGGACGCUUACCUUAGUCGUCUCAUGA